CUUAAUUUUUUGCUUAUUUUUUCAUUUCAUGCCUCAAUAUUUAUUUUUCAACGAGUUCGAUUCUGAACGCCAGAUGGCGAAGUCUUCGCCUCCCUUUUUCGUCUUAUUGGCUCUCACAGGGGCAGGGAUAGGAAUUCUGGCUACACCUGUCGCCUUCAUGGCAGUAGAUACAUGUUUACAGGCCUUAACCAUUAAGUAGGCCUUGGUUUUUCCUGCCCCAUCCUUAUCUCAUUGUCUUAGACUCCGAUUGCGUCUUUUAUGUCAGUAGUCUGAAUUUUCGAAAUUCUGUGUCUCUGUGUCUCUCAAUCUGUGCGGUGCAGUUAGUGUUAACAGUGUACGAUGUAAUUUGACUUGAGCUCACAGUAUGGAAGGAAAUGUAUUUCCGAAGCUGAUUCAACACGGUAUCGAAUAAAAGACAAGAAUUAUAACCAAACUAUCACUAAAAUUCAUUACCAACAUCAUGUGUCCACAUCGCUAUACAAUUGGCCAAAUUCACGAGAUCGGUCAAGUGAGGCUGGAACAAUUUAGGAGAAUUCGCGUUGGGAGACGAAUGUUGUGCAUUACAGUCAUGGAGUUUCCCAACACCCUGACGAAAUCAGUUCAUCUUCUACAAAACACACGUGUUAAAUUCUGUUUGAUUCUGAUGACUUGGCGUUACUGCUGGACAAUUAUUAGUAUGUUAACAGAUCACCUAGAGAUUAUUACAUGUCAUUUCAUGGACUGACAGAAAUCAAGAGUAAAAUCUAUAAUCAUAUUUGAAAGUGAAGCUUAGUUUCAAUGGUAAUACAGGCAACCUGUGCCUGUAAUAAUUAUUGUCGUGUCACAGGGGCUUGUUCUGUGGGUCUCCUCACUUGCCCUUGAUUUUGCUGCGUGACGUGAGGAUGUUGUCCAUGAGACGGCCCUAUAGGCUUCCUUUGCUGGACAGUGGAAAUGGUUGGCUGGUGAGGAUGAUGGAAAGGAAGACGUACGUUUGUUUGAGGAGGCUUCAGGUGGGCAGCAGGUUGGUGAUCAGAUUCGAUUUCGUUUGUUCUAAUAUCCUCAGUGAUGAAGAUGUGAAUCAGCUGCUGGGCGUUGUACUGACAAGUUGAAUAGAACUGGGCGCAAAUUUGGUUGUUGGAUCGACCCUGAUGCGAGGCACCAAGUUGAGCAGCUCUAUAAUACCAUUCCUUUGGAGUAUCUUUGUCUUCUUCGUUCAAGGAAGAUAGUGGAUAUCUAGUAGAACAAAAAUCUAAUUAAACAUCUGUCCAUUCUCCCACUUUAAGCUGAAUGUAAUGAAAUGCAAGUGAUCAAUCACCCGAAAAUGUCUUGCAGAAUGACUUCAUCAUCUGUGAGGCUUUCUUUUGGCUUCUGGUAGACUUCACACAUUAAACGGCGGCCGCACGAUUGUUCAUCAAACUGCGCGGCCAUGUAAAGUGUCGCGUUUGCCCCGUCUGACUCCGUAAUCUGCUCCGUGUCCACUGGCGCUGCUUCCGUAAUCUGAUCCAAAUUGAUUGGCACCGUUGAUCUCCGAGUACGAAGGAGCGGCUGAGUGUACCGGAGUUGUGGGUGAAUAUGGAGGAGGAGCGCGGCCACUUUGUGCGAGAGAAUAAGAUGGACUGUACACGGGCGGAGGCAGGGAGAAGAAAUCCACCAAGGAAGAGGAGGGCAAGUGGAGCUUUUAAUCCAAUCAAACCUUUGGUUACGAGGGCGAAUUUAAGGGCCAACACCUUGGCGAGGAUGACAGCCUUGCCACCGAGGAGGAUCAGAGGAAUCUUGAGCAACAGUUUGCCGAGGGCGCCUUUGAGUAACAGUUUUUUAAGUGCCAAAAGGGCGAAAGGAUCGCUUUGAUGCCCAAACCGAGCUUUCGAGAUGAAAUUACGUCUGGACCGCUAACAUCUUUGGCAUGGAGUUCUUCAAGUUCAUCGAGUCCCUUCUGAAUGAGUCCUUUUAAUUCGAUAUUCGGUGGUUGGUGUACGCCGUUGCUUGGUUGAAAGUGGACAACCGACAGGAGACAAAUCAACGUUACAAUGGAAAGGAUUGAACGCAUUUUCCUAUGAGCACGGAUUGUAGAAUGUCACUUUGUGUUGGAGGUGCUUUGAGUUGGUCACUUCAGCUGAGGAAGCGAUGGAAGCCACUGAUACUCUUUGCUGUUCAAUCGUCCCGUUUUAUAGGAAACUAUAUAGUCCUUAUUUUUUUAGCACCAUAUCAUCACGCAUACUCCCCAACGUUUUAUUGUCUUUUCUAUAAAUUCUUUCCACUUUCUUGGUUUAAUGGGGACACUGAAGAAAACGCAGGCAGCGCGGAAUCAAAUCUUGCAUUUCACCUGUUUACAAAAAGUCCCGGUUCACGAUCCAGACACUAUUAAAGAGAAAAUGCGCAAAAUAGAUAAGUAUAUUGAACCAUUUCUUUUUCGUCAAUAUCCUCGAAAUCCAUGUUUUUUCUUUAGAAAAAAAAAACGGUUUCUACCUUCGCUGCUAGUGAAAACUAAUCAUUUGAGGAUUCCGGAAUAGCCGUGGGGCAUAACGAAGAAUUAUUUUAUAGUACGGGUAUCUAAAUGUUUUAUGUGAAACAACAAAGAGGGUAAAGUUUGGAAUGCGUAAAGGGUUGAAAUUUACCAUCGUCUCUUAAUGCCAUUUGCUUUUUUUAUUUAACUUGAUGGUCUGUUUUUUAACAGUUGGAUUUAUGCAUUUUUAAGUGUAAAAGAAGAGGAUUGUAUCGUCGAAGGCCAGUGGUGUUAAUAGCUCGUUUUUGUUUUAUUCUAAGUUAAACUAUUAGCCGGAAAAGUAUAUCAAUUAUUGUUAGUCAUCUUAUUCAAUUCCAUCAAUCGCAGUUUUGAUUAAAUUACAAAGGACAAUUAUACAUUA